GUCGAGCGAACGGACGAGAAGCUUGCUUCUCUGAUGUUAGCGGCGGACGGGUGAGUAACACGUGGAUAACCUACCUAUAAGACUGGGAUAACUUCGGGAAACCGGAGCUAAUACCGGAUAAUAUUUUGAACCGCAUGGUUCAAAAGUGAAAGACGGUCUUGCUGUCACUUAUAGAUGGAUCCGCGCUGCAUUAGCUAGUUGGUAAGGUAACGGCUUACCAAGGCAACGAUGCAUAGCCGACCUGAGAGGGUGAUCGGCCACACUGGAACUGAGACACGGUCCAGACUCCUACGGGAGGCAGCAGUAGGGAACCUUCCGCAAUGGGCGAAAGCCUGACGGAGCAACGCCGCGUGAGUGAUGAAGGUCUUCGGAUCGUAAAACUCUGUUAUUAGGGAAGAACAUAUGUGUAAGUAACUGUGCACAUCUUGACGGUACCUAAUCAGAAAGCCACGGCUAACUACGUGCCAGCAGCCGCGGUAAUACGUAGGUGGCAAGCGUUAUCCGGAAUUAUUGGGCGUAAAGCGCGCGUAGGCGGUUUUUUAAGUCUGGUGUGAAAGCCCACGGCUCAACCGUGGAGGGUCAUUGGAAACUGGAAAACUUGAGUGCAGAAGAGGAAAGUGGAAUUCCAUGUGUAGCGGUGAAAUGCGCAGAGAUAUGGAGGAACACCAGUGGCGAAGGCGACUUUCUGGUCUGUAACUGACGCUGAUGUGCGAAAGCGUGGGGAUCAAACAGGAUUA
rnacentral:rRNA from 1 species